CUCUGUGACUCCUACGGGGAGGCAGCAGUGAGGAAUAUUGGUCAAUGGACGCAAGUCUGAACCAGCCAUGUCGCGUGCAGGAAGACUGCCCUAUGGGUUGUAAACUGCUUUAUACGGGAAGAAAUAUAGCUACGUGUAGUUAUUUGCCGGUACCGUAUGAAUAAGCAUCGGCUAACUCCGUGCCAGCAGCCGCGGUAAUACGGAGGAUGCGAGCGUUAUCCGGAUUCAUUGGGUUUAAAGGGUGCGUAGGCGGAAGUAUAAGUCAGGGGUGAAAGUUUGUGGCUCAACCAUAAAAUUGCCUUUGAUACUGUAUUUCUUGAGUACAUUUGAGGUAGGCGGAAUGUGUUGUGUAGCGGUGAAAUGCUUAGAUAUAACACAGAACACCGAUUGCGAAGGCAGCUUACUAAACUGUAACUGACGCUGAUGCACGAAAGCGUGGGGAUCGAACAGGAUUAGAUACCCUGGUAG
rnacentral:rRNA from 1 species